AAGCGGCCUUGGGGCUUUGUGAGAUAGCUAGGGUCGACUUGUGUGGAUUCUAGUAGAACGGAGCUGACCCUAUCCGAACAGGCCCCUGCCCUGCUUGGAUAGAGGCCUCCGAACAGGAGUAAAGAAUGGCUGUUGAACAUCCACAAGGCACCUGCAAGAUCCCCCACAGGCGCUGCCUGAGACCCAGCUCUGUGUCUCCUCGUCGUACAGCUUGUGGAGCUCCGACUGCAAGGCCAUCAGCAUGCCCAGGCAGGGGUUAAGCUGGAGGGCCAUGGAGGAGGACAGGCCAGCAGGAUGCCGCUUCUGCUCCAGGGCAUGCACCAUGCGUGAGAUAUUCUAAUUAUAUACACGUUCAUAAACAUAUGCUCACAUGCACAGAGUAUGAUACUGUAUGUUUUGCAAUUCGUAGAUAACUGUCAGACCUACAUGAAAGGACUGUUAAGAAUAACAAAUGUGUUGAAAGGUUUAAAUGUCGGGGGCGGGUGGAGUUCAGUGACUGUGCAAUGGUAUACUGGCAAAUCACCAGCCUCCGACAAAUCUAAUAUGCUGAACACAACUG
rnacentral:lncRNA from 1 species